UACGUAGGGUGCAAGCGUUAAUCGGAAUUACUGGGCGUAAAGCGUGCGCAGGCGGUCUUGCAAGACAGAUGUGAAAUCCCCGGGCUUAACCUGGGAACUGCAUUUGUGACUGCACGGCUAGAGUGUGUCAGAGGGGGGUAGAAUUCCACGUGUAGCAGUGAAAUGCGUAGAUAUGUGGAGGAAUACCGAUGGCGAAGGCAGCCCCCUGGGAUAACACUGACGCUCAUGCACGAAAGCGUGGGGAGCAAACAGG
rnacentral:rRNA from 1 species